rnacentral:lncRNA from 1 species
CAUGUUCCAUUUAAAGGGUGGUCCAAACGUUUCUUAAAACGAAACAAAUUUAUUAGUAAUUUACAAUUAUUAUUGAAAGCAAAAGAAAAAGACCCUUUCACCCCGUCGCAAGAAAAUAAUUACUACUACAUCACAUCACAAAGUUAUAGAGAGAGAUAUUGUUAAAAGAGAGAAGGAUGCAUUAAUUGGAAUGUAACUAUUCCGGGACUAUUGCAGAUUCCCCCACACUGCUUUGCCUCACUCCAUAAGUACCCCAUUUACCCUUGCCCAUUCGCAUUCCCAACGAACCAACACAGCCUCACAAGUAACAAACUUAUAACACACACUCUCUCUCUCUCUCUCUGCAAUGGCUGGAAUGGUUCCCCUUUGCAUUGCAUCAUUGGUCACUCUUUUUGUUGCAACAAGUGCUAGAAUUCCUGGGGUUUUCAAUGGUGGUGCAUGGCAGGGUGCCCACGCCACUUUCUACGGUGGAAAUGAUGCCUCUGGAACAAUGGGUAUGUACAAAAUAAAAAAACAAACUCAAAAACCCUUAUUACUCUUCUAACUUUUUUUUUUCAACCACCCUCUAACCCCAAACCAUAUUUCUCACCACAUCACACUAUUUCCCCCCUCAAAUCUCACUAUCUCAAACCGUUUUGUUACUUUUCAACCCAAACCAACCCUCUUUUUUCUGUUUUGAGCUCUUCCCACGAAAAUGUCGCUGUUUUUAUGGCCUCACAACAUCAAUUUUUCCUUAAUCUGGCCAAUUCUUCAAACCCAUGUUCGGUUUCCCUGUCCCUUCAAAAUGCAUACCACUUUGUUCUACCAUUACAAGUAAAAUAUCUCACCUUUCAUUUUUACACACUCCCUGAAACCCCCUCACAAUUAUUUCAAUUUCCUUGAACAUGAAAAUUUCGUUGUACUUAUUUUGUUUGUUUUAAUUCUUCAAUUCAUCGGGAACAACAUCUACUUAAUCUGAAGUUCAAUCCAAGAGAUAACAAAGCUUGAUAAAAAAAUUACUUUUGUUAACAAUCAAAUUGGGAUACUACUAAAUCUUAAGUUGAGCACAUGUCAUGUGACCUAAAACUUGGUUACUAAACCCAUAUUUCCCAUAUUUAGUCGAGUUAUUGUUUCAAAAUAAUUUGCUUUAUUUUGUCAAUUUUUAUUUUUAAUAUAAUAAAUACAUGGUUAACUAUGAGUCUAUGACCAUAUUUGUCUAAUUUCUAUUAAUUAACGAAAAUACUCGACAUGCAUUUUUUUCCGCUCAUUUUUGCUUCAUUUUGUAAUUUUCUCUCUCUACCUUUGCCUUUCUUUUUUCUUUUUAUCCUUUUACUUAUUUCACCCACAAAUCCACAGUGUAAAACCAAAUUUAUGAGUGACUAGAGAGUCAAGUCUUGUAUAAAUUCAUCCCAACCAAAAAAUUUCUCUAAAAAAUUAAAAGAAAAUGUAAAACAUCUACUUCCAGUUCAGCCUAUGAUAAAAGUUUCACUCACUUAUCUGAUAUUGUUCUCCUUAAUUUUUCUAUUUAAUUAUUUAUAGGUGGGGCAUGUGGGUACGGGAACCUAUACAGCCAAGGGUAUGGCGUGAACACCGCGGCCUUGAGCACGGCGCUGUUCAACAACGGGUUGAGCUGCGGCGCGUGCUUCGAGAUAAAGUGCGACCAAGAUCCGAGGUGGUGCAACCCGGGAAGCCCUUCCAUCGUCAUCACCGCCACGAAUUUUUGCCCUCCCAACUUUGCCCUUCCCAGCGACAACGGCGGCUGGUGCAACCCUCCUCGGCCCCACUUCGACCUCGCCAUGCCCAUGUUCCUCAAGAUCGCUCAGUAUAAAGCCGGCAUCGUGCCCGUCAGUUACCGCCGGUGAGUAUAGCAAAACUUCUUGCGUAGUGUAAAUAUUUUAUUUGUAAUAUGUUUUUAUUUACAAGGUGUUAAAUGAUUUUUUUUGUUUAAUAUUAUUUUUAUUGAUGAUUAUGAUAUUUAUAAUAAAAAAUAUAGCAUUUCUGAGAAAUGGGAAAAGUAAAACGUCAGAUCUUCAUUACUGUUUUGUUUUAAUUCCAUGAGUACUAAAAGGAUAAUUGGUUAUUAAUUUUUAUAAAAAUUUGUUUUCAUUACUGUUUUGUUUUAAUGUCUUACGAAGCCUUUUACUUGUUAAAUUUAAUGAUCUAAUAAUAAUCUUUACAGUACUUGUUAAUCAGAUCUUCAAAAUAUUUAUGAGAUAUAUAUUGCAUUGAAUUUAUUUAAAAGUUUAAAAUGUGAGAUUUUGUUUAUGAAAGGUUGAAGAUGGGGUAAAUAUUUUUUGAUAAUAUACAUAAACAUUAUUGAGGGUUUACUGAUAAUUUUUGUUUUAUUUUUUAUUUUGAAGUCGGGAUUGCUGUAGUUGUAGUCUCUUGUAAAUUGUAAUUAUGAUUUUACAUUUGAGUUUUGGUAUUUUCUCUAUUUUGGAAACCGUGGUAUAAAGUGGAUUUAGUGGGAUGCCUAUAACAAACCGAACUUGCAGAGAAGAUGAGGUUGAAGUUUUUUCAUGUUGAUUGUUCUCUUCCCAAAUUCCUUGUUUUCUUGGCAAACAAACAAACGAAACCCUAUCAGAAUAUAAUCUGCAGCUUCGUCCAUCGAAUAUAUAGUUAAAGUCAAUUUAAUAAGAUUAUAAUUUAUACCCUUUCUUUUACUUUUUAAACAAUACAUAAAUCUCUUUUAAUUUGUAUACUGCAGACAUAGAUCUUUCUGGUUAAAUGUUGUGUUGAUAUAAGUCAUUUCAAGUGUAAAAUAUGUAAAAUUUUAAUAAACGGGUAAUAUUUGACCUGUUAAUUAACCCAUUUGUAUUCAAAUGGUUACGGCUCCUUGAUUUAAAAUAUGGCUUUUUAUUUUUUAUUUUUUGUUUUUAAUUACAUACUCAGUUACACGCAAAUGGUAGAUUCAAAUGGUUACCUAACACUAUUUAUUUUCCAGUGGUAGAUAGAUUGCAAGAAUUUACCUGUAGUGUACCUUUCCUCAAUCUUCCAAAUGGUUCAGGAUUUGGGCUUUUAAGUCACAAUGACCAAAAUAACCUCAACAUUCAACAAAUCACCGACGCAGAAUCAUAUUCUUCGUACGCCCGUGGAGAGUUCGCUGUAAAAUCAACCAGAGAAAAAUGUUUACCCUAAAAAUGAGGGCACUGUUGCCUACGAAUACACCUAGUCUGCGCCGAUUUGUUGGGUCACAGUCACACCCACCACCCACACAUCCUACCAAAAGUUUUUGGGGCUCCG